GGUUGGUCAGGCUGACCCCAGUAUCCCUGGCAUCCUAAUGUGGGCAAUUAUUGCUAUGGCUGGGCUCCGUCCAGCCCCAGGAAUGUCUCAAUAACUGCAAACAGAGAACAGCUGCUAGUUUACUCGUUCAUCCAAAAGUUGAGGCUUCACAGUCCUUUGCUGUCAGUGUCAGGUCAGCAUGGCACAGGGUCACUCCGAGGGACGCACUGGGCAGGGGAGGAUGCCAAUCCCUACUGGAUCGCAGCAUUGUUGCACUGAAGCUUUCAACCUUGACGUAUUAAGAGGAGAGGGCAUCUUGCAGGGAGUGUUGAUCCCUUAGUUAAGCACUGAAGAUGUUGCUAAGGGUACUUGUUUGCAGGGGAUGACUGUGCCCACCCUCUCUCCUUGAGGGAAGGAAUGUUGCCAAAAAGGUGUUGCAGGAAUAUCAAAAACUUCUCACUGCAUAAGCUAAGAAUGAAUAACACUUGGGGAAGGGAAGAAGGAAAGAUUUUCUUCUGAGAAAAAGGGGGGGUUGUUUCUAGGGGCAGAGUGAAGGUCCAAGCAGCCUUUCCUCCAUGACUGCAGAGCCAAGCCUGCAGGAAAGGUUGGCUGAACCACCAGAAGAAGCUGGAGCACCCUGAGUGCCAGGGCCUCCUUGGAUCUGAUCCAACAGUAGACAGAUAUCAGCAUGGUUUUCUUUAAAUUCUACACACCUGUCCCCACUACAAAGUAAUUUCAUAUUUAUCUGACAGAUAUUUACACCAGCACAGUGCCCAUCUCUGCCCAGGCUCGUACCAGGGUCUCCAGGCACCCCUGACAAGACUAAGGCUCUGGCAGACAAGCUGUGCUGUCUCUCAGCAGGAGUAUGCACAUUAUGUCUCCAAGAUCUACAUCCCAAUGACCUGUCUGUGGCUUUCACACCACUACAAGGAAGCACAGAAGGCUGGAAGGUGUUACACAUCAGAGAAUUCUCCUGCUAAAUUGAUGGUCUGCUGUGGUGUACUACAAACACAGGAAAAGCUGGGGAUGGGAAAGGUGCUUUCAUGUCUCUCCUUGCUUUGGUAGGACUGGUCAGCAUCAUUGCAGGAUGGUGAGGGUCACCUCUGGUCUUUUCCCCAUGGAAGCCAUGCUUUUGAAGAACAUUUUGAAGGGUUGGAUCUCCCCAUAAGUGGGGCUUGUUUGCAGUUUUUACUGUAUAAGACCUGAGGGAAAUCUGAAUUUAGAUAGUGCUGUGCAAACAGAAAAUAAGAACUAAUCAAAGUACUCACAAAAAUUGAUAGGUCAGCAUUUUAAACCAGUAGUUUCAUCCUUCAGAACAUGUUUCUACCAGUAUGGUGCAUGAUAUAACAAAUAGCUGGUCUAGGGUACAUAAAUACAAUAUAUUGUCACUCUUUCUUAGGUGUACUUGAGUAUCAUCCUGGAAAAGUUGCUUGUGCAGCUUUCACUUAACCUGUGGAUUAGGAGAAUUAUUUACAUGCUGGAGACUGGCUGGAAUACCUGCUCCCACCUGUGACAGGAGAGACAAUGCUCCAGGAACAUGUCUGGGCUGUGCACAGGAAAGGCUCCUGCCUGAAAGAUCACUGCCUGUGUGAUGUAGCUGGGAAGGAAAGAAGGGAAAGAGGAACAGUGACUUGCUAAAGUGACAGGCUGAAGGAGAUGGUGGCCCUACCAGAGAGUGGGGAUCUACCCUUGCUGAACUUGUGAUAUUUCUGUUUCUGCCACCAGCCCACCAACCCACAGGUCAUGUGCUGUCCCUGUCUCCCAGACACCCAGGAAGCAGGGAGAGCUAUGUGUGAUUUUGAAGCAGGCUAGGCAUGCAGAGCUGCACCAAAAUGUGCUCUGCACACUGAAAAUAUCCUGCCCUGAGCACCCCAGAUGAGAUGGGCAGAGUGACCCCAGCCCCCAUCAUUGCAUAGCUGAGAGGGGAGGCUUGCCUGUGCCUGCAAGGGAACAGAGGAGGAGUGUCAGCAGCAGCAGCUGCCACACGAACACCAUUGCAGAAGCACCUGUGAGGAAAUGAACCAUUACAAAGCCUGUGCAGGGAACACCUAGGUGCACACAACCAAGCCACGAACUGGAGGUGGACAGUAAAGGCAAAAAGGGGGUGAGUGAAGGGAAUGAAGGCUCCAGACCCACAGCUGAUGCAGGAGAGGAUGUCAGGUUAGAGCAGGGAUCUGGAGUGACCAGCAUUGCUGGCUGUGCUCAGCUUGCUUCUCCUCUCCUGCCACCUUCCUCCUCCUGAAAAUCCUCAUCCCAUCUCCGUGAGCAAACUGGUGUGUCAUGGUGCAAUUACAGGCUGUCAACCUGUGUCACCCAGAGGGCUAAGAGCAGCUUCUCUGUGGACCCUUGCAGCUGCUGCCCAUCCCAGUGAAUGUCUCACUCCUGGAAGGAAUAAGAGGUGUGUAAGGGGAGGAGGAGAAAGACUGGGCAGGAGUUCAGAGAACUAAACUGUAAAGUGAGAAAGAAUGAGGCAGGACAAAAGUGAAAAGUAAAUAAAGUCAAUAGAAAGCAGUAACUGCAGAACACUGAAAUGAAUUUGUAAAUCUUGGAAAUAAAAAGGAAAGAGUUGUUGUUAGAGCAGAAAGGAAGCUCGAGUCCUACAAAAACUCUCUCGUGUCUGUGAGAAGUUGAAGUCAAAGUGAAAGCCACACUGACCCUACUCCUACACUUGGAAAUGCUGCAGGAAAACACCUCACUGUGAGGAGCAGCUAUAACUGAGGACGGACAACCUUCAGGUGGGAAGGACCUGUGCUUUCCAGUUUUGCUAGGAGCUGAAGAACCUACAGGCAGCCACGGGAACAGAGGGAGAGGCAUCUAAAGGGACUUUGGACUUAGAUCCGACUAAGCCAUAUCUCCUGUGCGGGGAGAAGAAAUGGCUGGGGAUGACACAGAUACCAGAAAACCCAGAAGUGUAAGGAGCAUCCAGGGACACUGAGGCAUCUGACAAGCAGCACUACGCACCUCCGUGCUCCCAGCCUCUCCAUGCAGUGCAGGCGCUCCAGCACCGAUGGCUACAGCUUAAAUUUGAGUUUCGCACAAUGGGAGACCGCGCCUGGGGAAAGCCGGGCAGAAACAGCAGCUCCCCACACCUCCACGGGCGGGAGCGGCGCCGCACGGAAGGGAGCCCGGCCGCUUCCCAAGGAGCCUGCCGGCCGCGGAGCUGCUUUCCAGGGGAGGCCGGCAGAGGGCAGCUGCACCCUGCCGA